rnacentral:rRNA from 1 species
GAUGAACGCUGGCGGCGUGCCUAAUACAUGCAAGUCGAGCGAACAGACGAGGAGCUUGCUCCUCUGACGUUAGCGGCGGACGGGUGAGUAACACGUGGAUAACCUACCUAUAAGACUGGGAUAACUUCGGGAAACCGGAGCUAAUACCGGAUAAUAUAUUGAACCGCAUGGUUCAAUAGUGAAAGACGGUUUUGCUGUCACUUAUAGAUGGAUCCGCGCCGCAUUAGCUAGUUGGUAAGGUAACGGCUUACCAAGGCAACGAUGCGUAGCCGACCUGAGAGGGUGAUCGGCCACACUGGAACUGAGACACGGUCCAGACUCCUACGGGAGGCAGCAGUAGGGAAUCUUCCGCAAUGGGCGAAAGCCUGACGGAGCAACGCCGCGUGAGUGAUGAAGGUCUUCGGAUCGUAAAACUCUGUUAUUAGGGAAGACCAAAUGUGUAAGUAACUAUGCACGUCUUGACGGUACCUAAUCAGAAAGCCACGGCUAACUACGUG